CCCCUCUUGUCGGAGUGCCAUUAGGCUGAGACCGUUUAUUCGGGAUCCGUUGAACCUGAUCAGGUUAGUCCCUGCGAAGGAAACAAGCAUAAUAUGACC
rnacentral:ncRNA from 2 species